ACUACGUGUCUGCGUGGUCCGAAUAUCCGGGCAUCCGGCCCAGGCAUGAACGGUCGGUUAAACCGGCCAAUCCUCCUCUCAAGCCUCGACGCAGCACGGCGCGCCGGCGCGGGACGACGGCAUGACGCCGCCGUCCAUCUUCCACCACCAUCGCUGCCUCGUCUCCCUCCCCUCCGCUUCCCCGACCUGGACCUCGUCCCGUCGUCUCAUCCAUCAACUCGCAAAACCCACAGUCCUGUCCCUACAUCUGCGUCCAGUCUUAUCCUCUUCCUUCGCGGUUGCCGCCGUCGGCGACGACGAGGAUGUCGUAGUCGGGGAUUGCCUCGUGUUCGACGACGACGCUUUCGAGGAACCGGACCUGGACCUCCCCUCGUCCCCGUGGCCGUCGGCUAGCGCCUCACGCCACGGCCGGAGGUCGGAGGCAGGCGAGAGCGACAGCCUGGUGCCGGAGAGGUGGAGGCAUGCCGAGGAGGAGAUCAACCUGACGAAGAAGGAUAAGCGCCGCAUCGCGCACGGGCUGCGGUUCGGGAGCCGCCUCGAGCGGCGGGCGCCCCCAGCUGUUGCUGCUCCUGAUGAAUUCCGCGCGUACCGCAAGGGGAUGCUGAGCGCUGAGCGUGAGCAUGUUUCUCAUGUAUACCGGGGGCCGCUGGAGAGGACUCCUCCGCCGGAAGUGAAGGAACAUCCACCGCCGGAGCCGGAGCCUGGGACGCGUGUGGCCCCGAGGAAUCCGAGGAUGGGGAUGGGCGUUGGCACCCUUGACGACAUUGAUGAGUUUUUCAGAAGUAGGGAAUAUGUUCAGGAUGAGAUGGAGGACAGCAAGAGUCCUAAGGGCCGUCAGAAGUUGUUCUCAAAUGAGGAGAAGAUUCUUCUGAACAAGCGAGUGCCUGAUCUGGAAACAGCUACUUCUAGUAAAUGGCUUCCACUUCACACCCUUGCUGCAUCUGGUGAUUUCUAUCUAUUGAAUAGCCUUUUAAAACAUAACGUGGACAUAAAUGCGCUUGAUAAGGAUGGCUUACCAGCGAUCCACAAAGCAAUUCUUUCAAAGAAGGCUGCUAUUAUCAAUUAUCUUUUAAGGAACUCAGCAAAUCCAUUCAUCCAAGAUAAAGAUGGUGCGACUCUAAUGCAUUAUGCGGUCCAAACAGCAUGUAGUCAGACCAUAAAGACACUUUUACUGUACAAUGUUGACAUCAACCGUCCAGAUGAUUAUGGAUGGACACCUUUGCAUCUUGCGGUACAAACACAGAGGACUGACAUUGUGAAGCUGCUUUUAAUAAAGGGCGCUGAUAGAACUAUUAGAACCCAAGAUGGAUUGACCCCGUUGGAGUUGUGCCUCCGGUUGGGUCAUGAUGUGCGGACGUAUGAGCUUAUCAAACUACUUAAAAGUUUCCGAGGACAAAAGCAGCAUGAUUUAGUUUAGCAACUGGAGGGUGUGUGACCCUCUUUGAACCAGUGAGGUUAACCAGUGUGGUGGCCUUCUGGGAGGCCAGUUUUCAAUGUACCAUUCAUGAUUCAUGGAAUCGCUCCUGGUUUGAGAUAGGAAAUAGUUUACCCCUAGAACUGGAAGCAAACGAGCAAACCAGGUUACAGUCGAGCCAUGAGAACGGGAUGAAUAAACCUUUCUGUAGGUUGGCGCUCUUCAAUUAUUAGAGGGCUCGUCAAAAACCGACCUUUAUAUGCUAUGAAUUCUUGUUCCACUAACCUAUCAGCUGCUGACAAUUCAGCUCAGAUAUGUUGGGAAACGUUGAUCAUGAACUAACAAGAACGAGGAUUCUAUGCACUCUUGUAUGCCCGAUGCAACUUCUUUUGAAAUCAGGGCCAAUCUAGGGCGUCAUCCAACAACCCUCAUGAAGUGCCCAGCCCAACGUAGCACCCGUCCAACCGCCCACUUCAAUGAGAGUUAUGUUUUUAGUGUUCAGACUACAAAACUUAUGUUGAAUACUUAUGUCAGAGCUUGAAACUUAUGUGUUGAUACUUCUGAACUCGUGUUGAUACUGUUUGUGUUGAGAACUUGCAUAUUAAUGUUUGUGUUGGAUAUUUAUGUCUGUGAUGUAUAUAUGUGAUAUCUGUGAUGUAUAUAUGUGAUAUCUGUGAUGUAUC